GAUCCUGGGCUCAGGAUGAACGCUAGCUACAGGCUUAACACAUGCAAGUCGAGGGGAAACGACAUCGAAAGCUUGCUUUUGAUGGGCGUCGACCGGCGCACGGGUGAGUAACGCGUAUCCAACCUGCCCAUCACUUGGGAGUAACCUUGCGAAAGUAAGACUAAUGCCCAAUGAUAUCCCACGAAGGCAUCCGAAUGGGAUUAAAGAUUUAUCGGUGAUGGAUGGGGAUGCGU
rnacentral:rRNA from 1 species